AAAAAUGCUGCUCGAGCAGCAUUUAAAUGCUGCUCGACCAGCAAAAUACUGCUCGAGCAGCAAAUUUACUGCUCGACUAGCAUUUUUCUGCUCGAGCAGAAAAAUCCUGCUCGACCAGCAUUUAUUUUUAGAUUAUGGCAUUAGCCAAUCAGAACUCUUGUUAUAUUUGCCAUUUGGUGCAAAACUGGUUUGUUUGGAAAAAAUGGCUGCCGCCGUGAUGGUGCCUUUUUCACAUCUUCUGCAAGUUUAUGUGACGAUCUGUUUAAAGUUUAACAUUGACACGCGGUGGACUUCAAUAUGUAUGAUCUACUUAUGCUGCAACAAUGUAAAGGCAACAAUCACUGGGUUUUGCUGGUUGCAAGUGUUAUGUCCAGGACUGUAACCAUUUACGACUCGUUGGGUGGUAACAACAAGGCCUUGUUCGAUUUGUUCUGCCAGUUCAUGUGUCAACGAGCGCAAAUUGUGAAAGAUGGCUUGGAAAAAAUCAGUUCAGAGUUAAAAGCGCCACCUUGCAACAAACAGGGCCACGGAAACAGCUGUGGAGUGUUUGCAUUGAUGGUAAUAAAUAAGCUUUAUAUUUCUAUAUAGGUGUCACUUUGUCGUACUGUCGGUCGGUCUGUCUCGAAAUUUCAUCCGAUCUUCACCAAACUUGGUCACAAGUUGUAUCUUGAUGAUGUUUAGGCCAAGUUUGAAUAUGGGUCAUGCUGGGUCAAAAACUAGGUCACGGGGUCACUUAGUGUGUUUUAAACCGAAAGUUUGUCCGGAUCAUAACUAUGUCAUUUAUCGUUAGAUUUUAAAAUAACUUGGUACAUUUGUUCACCAUCAUGGAACGGUGUGUUGCGUGAAAAAAGUACGUCGAUAUCCCCAAGAUCAAGGUCACACUUGGAGUUCAAGGGUCAAAUGCUUGUCCGGGCCAUAACUUUAUCAUUUAUUGUGAGAUUUUAAAAUCAUUUAGCAAAUUUGUUCACCAUCAUGGGGCGGUGUGUCGCGCGAAAGAAUUUCUUCAAUAUCUCGAAGGUCAAGGUCACACUUUGAGUUCAAAGAUUAAAAAUGGCCAUAAAUGAGCUUGUCUGGGCAAUAACUAUGUCAUUCAUUGUGAGAUUUUAAAAUCAUUUGGCACAUUUGUUCACCAUCAUUGGACGGUGUGUCGCGCGAAAGAAUUACGUCGAUAACUCCAAGUUCAAGGUCACACUUUGAGUUCAGAGGUAAAAAAAGGCCAUGUGGAUAACUCCAAGGUCUUGGUCACACUUGGAGUUCAAAAGUAAAAAAAAAUGGCCAUACAUUUGGACUGCAUGUCAUGCUAAAAAAUUCAAGAGUUCAAAGGUCAAAAUGGCCAUAAAUGAUAAUGGCAUUAUCAUUAUUAAAAAUAGCCAUAAAUGUGAUUCUCUUGUUUUGUGAAGACAGCAUGCAAAAUAGUCUGUGUCAAUUCGGCACGUGGGGGUAUUUGUCACGUCUGUGACAAAGCUGUAGUUUGCUUAGUAAAGAUCUGCAUUAACGUUUAUUCAACAAAAUAAUGGGAGAAUGUAGAAUAUAAUCAUCGUACCUUUCUGUUGGUGCAUUGGUUUUUAGAGCCUUGCAUUUUCUUUUAAUUUAUAAAGGACAUGAUAUUUCAUAUGUAAUAUCAUAACCUGAGGAUCAAACUGUGUUAUAGAGUCUUUUGUCAAAUAACCCUGAAAAAAGGU